ACAGGGGCAGGAAUAUGUGGACCCAUGUGGGUGAGUUAAGAAUGCUCCACAGAUGAAGAGUCCUUUGGAAUAGAUGGGGAAUUUGCUAAUACAAGCAUAAUUGGCUCAGAAGAGCACACUGCAACAGAGAGUCAAGGUGAAACUAAAUGAAGAAAAGAGGAGUACAGAAGUCUCCCUGGAGUGAUGGAACACUUAUUAAACAGAGUUCACCUUCAGCAGAAGAGGGCCUCUCACUGAGUAUGAAAUCUCAAGAGCAGAAACCCACAGGUCCAAGAUUCAGAGCAUACACUUGGAAAGUAGACUUCUUUUAAAUCAACUGACUGCUGACUGACUCCUUGCAGCUGACUUCUAGAAUUCCCUCAAAGCAGUUUCCUCACACUUUUACCCUCUGAAUAUGCUCUUUAGUCAAGCUGAGACCACCUUGAAUCUUGAGGAGAAUGAUGAUUCAAUGCAGAGGCGGAGGGAGGUUGAGAGCAAGAUUAGUCUGGCAUGAAACAUCACAGGGAAAUGUGAGCAAGUGCCAGGAGGCCGGAGACAGGGGCCGGGCAAACAGCUGAAGGAUCUUUUUGGGAGCCCUAACAUCUGCAAAGGCCAGUAGAUGCAAGUAUCCCAAAUGGUGACCUAUGUAAGCUCUAAUAAAGUCAGCAU